rnacentral:tRNA from 1 species
GCUGGCGAAAUGGCUUGAAUCGUUUUGCCAAGGUUGGGGUCGAGGGUUCGAAUCCCUUCGCCCGCUCCA